rnacentral:rRNA from 3 species
CGCGGUGGUCCCACCUGACCCCAUGCCGAACUCAGAAGUGAAACGCCGUAGCGCCGAUGGUAGUGUGGGGUUUCCCCAUGCGAGAGUAGGGAACUGCCAGGC